rnacentral:misc_RNA from 1 species
GAUUAAGAACGUAGCGAAAUGCGAUACGUAAUGUGAAUUGCAGAAUUCAGUGAAUCAUCGAAUCUUUGAACGCAUAUUGCGCUCUCUGGUAUUCCGGAGAGCAUGCUUGUUUGAGUAUCAGUAAACACCUCAACUCCCUUUUCUUUUUUGAAAUUGGAGCUGGACUUGAGUGAUCCCAACGCUUUCUUCCAAGAAAGUGGCGGGUUGCUUGAAAUGCAGGUGCAGCUGAACUUUUCUCUGAGCUAUAAGCAUAUCUAUUUAGUCUGCCUAAAAAACAGAUUAUUACCUUUGCUGCAGCUAACAUAAAGGAGACUAGUUCUUGUGCUGACUGAUGCAGGAUUCACAGAGACAGCUUCGGCUGACUUUGUAAACUCGAUCUCAAAUCAAGUAAGACUACCCGCUGAACUUAAGCAUAUCAAUAAGCGGAGGA